rnacentral:rRNA from 1 species
UCGAGCUUGCUCACAGGCACAUCAUAUCCAUAACACCUGUGCACUUGUCGGAUGGCUUAGUGAAGACCGCAAGGUUGGAUCUAUCCAUCUACUUUACAUAACAAUUCUGUAACAAAUGUAGUCUUAUUAUAACAUAAUAAAACUUUCAACAACGGAUCUCUUGGCUCUCGCAUCGAUGAAGAACGCAGCGAAAUGCGAUAAGUAAUGUGAAUUGCAGAAUUCAGUGAAUCAUCGAAUCUUUGAACGCACCUUGCGCUCCUUGGUAUUCCGAGGAGCAUGCCUGUUUGAGUGUCAUGAAAACCCUCAACCCUAGAUUGGUUAAAACCUUUCUUUGGUUUGGAUUUGGACGUUUGCCGAUGAUAAGUCGGCUCGUCUUAAAAGUAAUAGCUGGAUCUGUCUCGCGACAUGGUUUGACUUGGCGUAAUAAGUAUUUCGCUAAGGACAUCUUCGGAUGGCCGCGUUGCAGGACUAAAGACCGCUUUCUAAUCCAUUGAUCUUACGAUUAAUAUUCUUGACAUCUGGCCUCAAAUCAGGUAGGACUACCCGCUGAACUUAAGCAUAUCAAUAAGCGGAGGA